UUUCCUGGGGGCUCUGGGGGCUGGGAACGGGCCCGGGCCUAGGCCCGGGGUUGGCCUCCGAGCGGUCUCGGGCCGCUGGUAUUCAGUUCCUUUCCUCCGAGGUCGUUUAGUAAGGCUCCGCUGAGUGAAGGAGAGCUGCCUGGCUGCGCUGCGGGAGCCGGAGGGUUCCUCUCGGGGGUGGCCGAGCUGCACUGGGACUGGCCUGCAUGUGAUUUGUUUGAAGUGCCAUUUCCUCAUUUCUGACCUGGGACUUACAGCAGCUUCUUCGUUUUGAGAUCUGACGCAAGUAACAUUGUGGUAUACUGGGACAGAAUCAGGUAAAUUUAACACUGGCUUUUAAAACUGUACAGCGUUUUAAUUCACCAAAAUGCAGGGCAAGGCAACAGUCUUAAGCUGUGCCAGGGGAGAUUUAUGUUGGACAUUAGAAGCAAUUUCUUCACACAAAAGCAUGAUGAAACAUAGGAGUGGGCUGCUCAGGGU